rnacentral:rRNA from 1 species
UACGGGGGAUGCAAGCGUUAUCCGGAAUCAUUGGGCGUAAAGCGCCUGUAGGUUGUUUAAUAAGUCUGUUGUUAAAGACUGGGGCUUAACCCCAGGAAAGCGAUGGAAACUACUAGACUUGAGUAUGGCAGGGGUAGAGGGAAUUUCUAGUGUAGCGGUGAAAUGCGUAGAUAUUAGAAAGAACACCGGUGGCGAAGGCGCUCUACUGGACCAUUACUGACACUCAGAGGCGAAAGCGUGGGGAGCAAACAGG